CUUCCUUGAGGUCAAUGAUCCAGGGGAACCCUCAGGUGCAUGGCUGGGUCCUGGGGGUAAGGGAAGUGGAGGAAGACAGGGCUGGGGCUUCAGCUCACCAGACCUUCCCUGACCCACUACUCAGGGCUGGAGACUCUGAAAGACACACCGCCCCCACGGCUCAUCAAGUCACACCUGCCCCUGGCUCUGCUCCCUCAGACUCUGUUGGAUCAGAAGGUCAAGGUGGUCUAUGUUGCCCGAAACCCAAAGGACGUGGCGGUCUCCUACUACCAUUUCCACCGUAUGGAAAAGGCGCACCCUGAGCCUGGGACCUGGGACAGCUUCCUGGAAAAGUUCAUGGCUGGAGAAGGUGGGCUUGACUGGAGGAAGGAGGGUGUGAAGCCGAGGGGUGGUGGCUAUAACGUACAGCAACCCUGUGUCGGUGCCCCCUGCCCGCUUCUCUAGUGUCCUACGGGUCCUGGUACCAGCACAUGCAGGAGUGGUGGGAGCUGAGCCGCACCCACCCUGUUCUCUACCUCUUCUAUGAAGACAUGAAGGAGGUGAGACCGCCUGUGAUGCUUCCCCCCAUGUGACACCUGGGGGCAGGCACCUCACAGGGACCCACCAAGGCCACCCAGCCCCGUCCCUGGGCGGCUCCCACAGCAAGCCCAGAUUCCCCAUCCUACCUCCCUGGCCCAGGCCCCCCGACUGCAGCCCCACCUGGCAGCAGGCUCGGCACAGCUUUCAUCUUCUGCACCUGAGUCAGCUGCAUGGGUGGCCACGGAUCAGAUACUUAGUCCUAUUGCUUAUCCUCACCAAAGGGUGUGCUACCCAGGGCCACAGUCACGGAAGAA
rnacentral:sRNA from 1 species